rnacentral:rRNA from 1 species
GAGAGUUAAAUAGUACGUGAAAUUGUUGAAAGGGAAACGAUUGAAGUCAGUCAUGUUAGUGAAAAAUCAGUUUGACGGGUUUUGAGUUCGGGAGUAGAGGCAGGGUCAAACCGUUUCUCUUUUGAACUUGGGAUUUGUUAGAUGUACUUUUUCUUUGGCAGGUCAGCGUCGAUUUCGGAGGUUGUAAAAUACUUGGGGAAAAGUAGCUCUGCUUCGGGAGAGUAUUAUAGACCCUGGGGGAUGCAGCCUGCGGGAUCGAGGAUUGCAGCAAAUGCCUUUGGCUUGUCGCCUGAUCUCUGGAUGUUACCUCGCUUGUGACAACAUUCUUGUCACCUGUGGGUACUAAUGCCCAUUAGGUUAGAGCGAUCAAAAAUUUUGCUAAGGAUGCUGACGUAAUGGCUUUAAACGA